AGAAUCUAAGAAUAAAAUAAAGCAAACAUAACUUAGAAGAAAAUUUCAUUAAAUAAAUUUGAAAGCUUAUACAUAAUGAAAAUACAAUGAGUAUUUAUAGAAUUCUUGUUGUUAUAGCACGCGCGCAAAUUUAAGGAACACACACAAAUCGCAUAAUCAUAUAGUAUAAAAAGGAAAAGAAGAAUAAUAAAAAAUUUAAUGUGGUUCGACCAUAAGGUCUAUGCCCACGGGCAAGACAAGAGAAAAAUUUUCACUAUAAUAAAA
rnacentral:misc_RNA from 1 species